UACGUAGGGUCCGAGCGUUGUCCGGAAUUACUGGGCGUAAAGAGCUCGUAGGUGGUUUGUCGCGUUGUUCGUGAAAACUCACAGCUCAACUGUGGGCGUGCGGGCGAUACGGGGCAGACUAGAGUACUGUAGGGGGAGACUGGAAUUCCUGGUGUAGCGGUGAAAUGCGCAGAUAUCAGGAGGAACACCGAUGGCGAAGGCAGGUCUCUGGGCAUUAACUGACGCUGAGGAGCGAAAAGCAUGGGGGAGC
rnacentral:rRNA from 1 species